ACUCUUGUUCUCUGAUCAAUCAUGGAGGAACCGACAAAGUGGCUGCGAUGUGUUCUCUUCCUCCUCCGAUAUGCGUCGCACCAUAUCACAGCCCGCUUUGUUGACUCUGCCGUGCAAUACUCUCCUCUAAUUGGCU
rnacentral:precursor_RNA from 8 species